UACGUAGGUGGCAAGCGUUGUCCGGAAUUAUUGGGCGUAAAGCGCGCGCAGGCGGUCUCUUAAGUCUGAUGUGAAAGCCCCCGGCUCAACCGGGGAGGGUCAUUGGAAACUGGGAGACUUGAGUGCAGAAGAGAAGAGUGGAAUUCCACGUGUAGCGGUGAAAUGCGUAGAGAUGUGGAGGAACACCAGUGGCGAAGGCGGCAUCCUGGACCGGCAUUGACGCUGAUGAGCGAAAGCCAGGGGAGCAAACGGG
rnacentral:rRNA from 1 species